UGCGCCCUCGCCUCCUCGAACCGCCCCUGGCGCCCCAACACCUCCCCCACCAGCAUAAGCGCCUCAGCGGGAGCCCGGUGCUCCAGUCCGAAACCCUGAGACAGACAGACAGACAGACAGUACAACAACAAUGGCAGCAUCAACAGCAAAUGAAAGAGGAAGGGGAAGCGUGGUCCUGAAUGUAUGUAUGUCGGUAUGUAUGUAUCUUUGUAUGUCAAAAAGUAAAAACGAUGAUGGAAAUGUUAACAAAUGUAGUAUGUACGUACGUACAUACAUUCGUACAAUAUCAACGGAGGCGGCACGGCCCAUCCCUCAACACCCCCCCCCACACACACCCUGUACCCUCAGCACCUCAAAACACACAAACAUACACACAUACACACACACGCGCACCUUGGCAGUCUGGUGCGCUGCGUGUUUGGCGAUCAGCUCCGCCUGCGGGAGCCGCCCCAUCAGAAGUAACACGCGAGCCACUCGCACCAGACAGUGCGCAGCCUGGGGGGAGUCCGAGCCCAGAGCUUCGGCCUGGGGAAAACCCGGGGGAAUGUCAGGGUUUUAGGGUUUUAAGGUCCGUGGGGGUCAGGAGGAAGGGGGAGGGGGAUACAUGAGAAGGGAAAACCCACAGCGGUGGGGUGAGUAAAAAUCUAAAACCCUAAACUGAUCCGGGAGAAACGAAACACCCGUGUACAUACAAACAUACAAACGUACAUACGGGGAUAAUUAUCCACGUCACUUAAAGAGGUGGUGGCAUCAUUUGACGGGUUCCCAGCCACCUCCACAACUCUUUUCCCCCCACCCUACCCACCCCCCCACCCUCUGAAACCCCCUCCCCAUUUUUCCCCUCCCCCCUCACCACCACACACACACACACACCCCGUCACCCCGCCCGUACUCCAUUGACCGCCCUCUGACCGUUAGCGAGUGAGCUUGGAGGCAAAGACUCAGCGCUUCACGCUGCUUGCCCGCCUCUGCAGCAGCAGCAGCCACCCCCUCGAGAUCACUCGCCACCUCCAUCGCCUGCUCUGGGCUAAGCCCGGUACUCACG
rnacentral:lncRNA from 1 species